AGUGAACGCUGGCGGUAGGCCUAACACAUGCAAGUCGAACGGCAGCACAGUAAGAGCUUGCUCUUACGGGUGGCGAGUGGCGGACGGGUGAGGAAUACAUCGGAAUCUACUUUUUCGUGGGGGAUAACGUAGGGAAACUUACGCUAAUACCGCAUACGACCUACGGGUGAAAGCAGGGGAUCUUCGGACCCUGCGCGAUUGAAUGAGCCGAUGUCGGAUUAGCUAGUUGGCGGGGUAAAGGCCCACCAAGGCGACGAUCCGUAGCCGGUCUGAGAGGAUGAUCAGCCACACUGGAACUGAGACACGGUCCAGACUCCUACGGGAGGCAGCAGUGGGGAAUAUUGGACAAUGGGCGCAAGCCUGAUCCAGCCAUACCGCGUGGGUGAAGAAGGCCUUCGGGUUGUAAAGCCCUUUUGUUGGGAAAGAAAAGCAGCAGGUUAAUACCCCGCUGUUCUGACGGUACCCAAAGAAUAAGCACCGGCUAACUUCGUG
rnacentral:rRNA from 1 species